rnacentral:misc_RNA from 1 species
UGGUUCUGGCAUNGAUGAAGAACGCAGCGAAAUGCGAUAAGUAGUGUGAAUUGCAGAAUUCAGUGAAUCAUCGAAUCUUUGAACGCACAUUGCGCCCUUUGGUAUUCCUUAGGGCAUGCCUGUUCGAGCGUCAUCUAACCCCUCAAGCAACGCUUGGUGUUGGGCGCCUGUCCCGCCUCCGCGCGCGGACUCGCCCCGAAGACAUUGGCGGCCUGUGUAUUGGCCACGAGCGCAGCAGACCCGCGGCUCGUGCCCUCUCGCGCGGGCGCUCCACGAAGCGACCACCCCCAGUUUUGACCUCGGAUCAGGUAGGGAUACCCGCUGA